rnacentral:rRNA from 1 species
CCUACGGAAGGCAGCAGUGAGGAAUAUUGGUCAAUGGGCUUACGCCUGAACCAGCCAAGUCGCGUGAGGGAAGACUGCCCUAUGGGUUGUAAACCUCUUUUGUCAGGGAGCAACGCCGGCUACGUGUAGCCGGACUGAGAGUACCUGAAGAAAAAGCAUCGGCUAACUCAGGGCCAGCAGCCGCGGUAAUACGGAGGAUGCGAGCGUUAUCCGGAUUUAUUGGGUUUAAAGGGUGCGUAGGCGGCCUUUUAAGUCAGCGGUGAAAGUCUGUGGCUCAACCAUAGAAUUGCCGUUGAAACUGGGAGGCUUGAGUAUGUUUGAGGCAGGCGGAAUGCGUGGUGUAGCGGUGAAAUGCUUAGAUAUAACGCAGAACCCCGAUUGCGAAGGCAGCCUGCCAGGCCAUGACUGACGCUGAUGCACGAAAGCGUGGGGAGCAAACAGGAUUAGAUACCCUUGUAGUC